rnacentral:rRNA from 1 species
UACGGAGGGGGCGAGCGUUGUUCGGAAUUACUGGGCGUAAAGGGCGCGUAGGCGGUUAGGUGAGUCAGAGGUUAAAUCCUAGGGCUCAACCGUGGGACUGCUUUUGAGACUGCCUUACUAGAGGGUAGAAGAGGGGGAUGGAAUUUCCGGUGUAGCGGUGAAAUGCGUAGAUAUCGGGAAGAACGCCGGUGGUGAAGGCGGUUCCCUGGGCCGUACCUGACGCUGAGGCGCGAAAGCUAGGGGAGCGAACGGG